UUGCAUCACCUCACAUUGUGUCCAGAACCAACUGUGAUUUUCCCAGGUGAUGCUGAGGCCGCUAGUUCUGGGAGCACUUUUUGAGAAAAGGAGUGAAGAAGUGGUUGGUCCAAAGGGUAAAGAGAUGAGCCAAAGUCCUUAGGUUGAGAGUAACAAGCGCCUGCUGUAAGGAGCCAUAGGGCUAACUGGACCGGAGUGCUGGGCCUCCCAGAGGCGGGCCACACCAGCUUCAGUAACAGCGCAUCUCUCCAUAAAACGCCACCCCUGAGUUAAUGAAAAGAGCACUAAAACAACAGUGGCCCCACAAAGGGCAGCCUGACAACGACCACUGCGUGUUGGCUGAGCUUUCUGGGCCCCUGUGUGUAAAGGCAAGCCCGGAGGUCUCCAGGGCACUAGAAAGGGCAGUGUGGCCUUCCCAGCGUCAGGGA
ensembl:lncRNA